GCGUAGGUACUCAAGUGGCAACGAGGGCAGACUGUAAAUCUGCUGACCUUUGGUCUUCGGGGGUUCGAGUCCCUCCCUACGCA
rfam:Parcubacteria bacterium GW2011_GWB1_42_9 TV50_C0017, whole genome shotgun sequence.